rnacentral:lncRNA from 1 species
UUGGAUAUGGUUAGUGGGGAGGAUAUUAUGGGAUGUGGUUGUUAGUGGAGAGUGGAGAUGUUAAUCAAAAUCAAAUUAAUUAUCUUUUUAUUUUAUUUUAUUUUAUAUUUUUUCAAAUUUUUCUCUCUUCCCAAAAGUUUGACAUUAGUUUUCUCUUUUCUCAGCCACAUUCUUCUUUCUCUUCUUUUUCCUGCAACUCUGUCUAUAAUCUGCUGUCGUAUCAUUGUAUUUCAAAAUUUCG